rnacentral:rRNA from 1 species
AGUAGGGCCUGCCCACUGAUUUAUUGAAGGGCCGCAGUAUUCUAACUGUGCAAAGGUAGCAUAAUCAUUAGUUUUUUAAUUGAAAGCUGGAAUGAAUGGUUUGAUGAAAAAUUUUCUGUUUCAAUAUUAAUUAUUUAAAAUUUUAUUUUUAAGUUAAAAAGCUUAAAUUUUUUUAAAAGACGAGAAGACCCUAUAGAGUUUAAUUAAUAAUAAAUUUUUUUAAAUAAGAAUUAAUUUUUUAAUAAUUUUUUAUUAAUUUGAUUGGGGUGAUUAAAAAAUUAAAAGAACUUUUUUUAUAUUUAUAUAUUUAUUUAUAAAUUUUUGAUCCAUUAUUAUGAUUAUAAGAAU